UGAACGCUGGCGGCGUGCCUAAUACAUGCAAGUCGAGCGAACAGACGAGGAGCUUGCUCCUCUGACGUUAGCGGCGGACGGGUGAGUAACACGUGGAUAACCUACCUAUAAGACUGGGAUAACUUCGGGAAACCGGAGCUAAUACCGGAUAAUAUAUUGAACCGCAUGGUUCAAUAGUGAAAGACGGUUUUGCUGUCACUUAUAGAUGGAUCCGCGCCGCAUUAGCUAGUUGGUAAGGUAACGGCUUACCAAGGCAACGAUGCGUAGCCGACCUGAGAGGGUGAUCCGCCACACUGGAACUGAGACACGGUCCAGACUCCUACGGGAGGCAGCAGUAGGGAAUCUUCCGCAAUGGGCGAAAGCCUGACGGAGCAACGCCGCGUGAGUGAUGAAGGUCUUCGGAUCGUAAAACUCUGUUAUUAGGGAAGAACAAAUGUGUAAGUAACUAUGCACGUCUUGACGGUACCUAAUCAGAAAGCCACGGCUAACUACGUG
rnacentral:rRNA from 1 species